rnacentral:rRNA from 1 species
GAAGCGAAAGUGACGGUACCUGCAGAAAAAGCGCCGGCUAACUACGUGCCAGCAGCCGCGGUAAUACGUAGGGCGCAAGCGUUAUCCGGAAUUAUUGGGCGUAAAGAGCUCGUAGGCGGUUUGUCGCGUCUGCUGUGAAAUCCCGAGGCUCAACCUCGGGCCUGCAGUGGGUACGGGCAGACUAGAGUGCGGUAGGGGAGAUUGGAAUUCCUGGUGUAGCGGUGGAAUGCGCAGAUAUCAGGAGGAACACCGAUGGCGAAGGCAGAUCUCUGGGCCGUAACUGACGCUGAGGAGCGAAAGGGUGGGGAGCAAACAGGCUUAGAUACCCUGGUAGUCCACCCCGUAAACGUUGGGAACUAGUUGUGGGGUCCAUUCCACGGAUUCCGUGACGCAGCUAACGCAUUAAGUUCCCCGCCUGGGGAGUACGGCCGCAAGGCUAAAACUCAAAUGAAUUGACGGGG